rnacentral:misc_RNA from 1 species
UUGUGGAGAAGGACGCCGAAGGUGGGGCUAAUGACUGGGGUGAAGUCGUAACAAGGUAGCCGUACCGGAAGGUGCGGCUGGAUCACCUCCUAACAGGGAGACAAAAACUGAUCGUGAUGUCUGAGUUUUUUUCUUAGACCAUGAUCCUGUCACCUUAGGUCGAUCGGUACCUCAAAUUCAAAAAUGAAGUUAGAGCAAUUUCUAUUAGCUUUAAUUUGUAUGAAUUUCAGUUCCUAAACUUGUCUAGGUCACACCCAACAAGGGUACUCCUGGGCCAUUAGCUCAGGUGGUUAGAGCGCACCCCUGAUAAGGGUGAGGUCCCUGGUUCAAGUCCAGGAUGGCCCAUUCGGUGUUGGGGGUAUAGCUCAGUUGGUAGAGCGCCUGCUUUGCAAGCAGGAUGUCAGCGGUUCGAGUCCGCUUACCUCCACUGAUCGACCUUCUGACAGCGGAUCUUAGGAGAUUUUGCUUGGUUUGAUGUGAUUUAGACUUUUCCUCUGAAUGGAACCUAGCUUCCUAUCAUUCCAAAUCUAAGUUUUAGAUGAGGUUGAAAGGAUGCUGGGCUCACUGUAAUUUUUUUAAUUACAGGGAUCUUCAGUAGAACCUUGACAACUGCAUAGGUGAGUCUGAAAAGAAUUAAAGCAUCUCAUGGAUGCAUUAUUCUUAUGUUAUCAAGAAUAUUAUUUAUAUUAUUCCUGAUUAAUUUUAAGAAUAAUGUCUAAUUCUAGAGCUAAGAUAAGAAACUCUUUAGAUCUCUUUUGAUAGUUAUAUCAAGAGUUUGAUCAUUGAUUUACUCAUAAAUCAAUGAAAAUUUCUAUAGAGAAAAAUGGUCGAGCUACAA